UCGGAUAUGGUGUAAUGGCUAACAUUACCGCCUCUCAAGUGUUACGCGGUAGCUCGGGGUUCGAUUCCCCGUAUCCGAA
rnacentral:tRNA from 1 species